UACAGAGGUGGCAAACGUUGUCCGGAUUUAUUGGGUGUAAAGGGCAUGUAGGUGGUUUUGUAAGUCAAAGGUGAAAUGGCCCGGCUCAACCAGGUCAUUGCCUUUGAAACUGCAAGACUCGAGUUCGGAAGAGGAAAGCGGAAUUCCCAGUGUAGCGGUGAAAUGCGUAGAUAUUGGGAGGAACACCGGUGGCGAAGGCGGCGACCUGGUCCUUUUACUGACGCUGAGGCGCGAAAGCGUGGGGAGCAAACAGG
rnacentral:rRNA from 1 species